rnacentral:rRNA from 1 species
UGGGGAAUAUUGGACAAUGGGCGGAAGCCUGAUCCAGCAACGCCGCGUGAGGGAUGACGGCCUUCGGGUUGUAAACCUCUUUCAGUACCGACGAAGCGAAAGUGACGGUAGGUACAGAAGAAGGACCGGCCAACUACGUGCCAGCAGCCGCGGUAAUACGUAGGGUCCGAGCGUUGUCCGGAAUUAUUGGGCGUAAAAGGGCUCGUAGGCGGCUUGUCGCGUCGGGAGUGAAAACAGCGGGCUUAACUCGUUGCUUGCUUUCGAUACGGGCAGACUAGAGGUAUGCAGGGGAGAAUGGAAUUCCUGGUGUAGCGGUGAAAAUGCGCGAUAUCAGGAGGAACACCGGUGGCGAAGGCGGUUCUCUGGGCAUUACCUGACGCUGAGGAGCGAAAGUGUGGGGAGCGAACAGGAUUAGAUACCCUGGUAGCCCACACCGUAAACGUUGGCGCUA